ensembl:lncRNA
CCCCGCCCCGCGCGCGCGCCCCGCCUCCGGAGCUGGGGCUGGAGGCCCCGGGGCUCCGGGCGAGCCGUCAGAGGCCAGGGAGCCUCGGCGGCGGCCGGCGCACACGCAGCCCCGGGCGGCCCAGCGAAGCGAGGGCGAGGCGAGGGGCGCGUCCACGGCCGAGCUCGAGCGGACGCUGGUUCCUCCUCCCGCGCGGGCUCCCGGGACAAUACGACACUGACCCUGGUCGUCGUCACGCUCCUUGCCCGGGAGCCGCGGCCGCCGGCUGGAAAGCAGAGGCCCGGGCGUGAGCGCCCCCCCUCCGGCAGGCCGCGCGGUAGCGCCGUCCCCGCGUCGCCCGCAUAAGGCAAGCGAGAAGGGACGCACUUCUGCCGCCUCGCAAAGCGGGGCGGAGCGGGCCGGCCGCUGGGGUUCGGUGGCGGGGGCCUGCCCGGAUCCCCCGAGGCGAGGAGGAUCGGGGCCUCGCAGCCUCCUCGCGACGGGCCAAGACCCUCUGGAGGAGGACAGCAAGUGAGGACUGGGGCGCCUGGAGGUCGCUCAGAUUCUCGCCCCCGGAGAGCGAGGAGGGGCUGCCUCUGCCAGCCGCCGCCCGCGAGCAGGGCACUCCGGCACGGAGGCUCCCCUGGGCGCUGCCGUUCCCCGGAGGGAUAGGGAGCCUCCUAGCGGGACCCGGCGCGCUCUUGACCCCAACGCGGAGCGACGGCUCCGACUCCGCCCUGCGGGCUGAGGGUCCCUCUGAACCCGAGCCCUGGCGGCUUCCUGCCGCCACCUGGUCAUCGGGAGACGGCGAGUGGGGUCGGGGGUGAAGGCCGCAGAGAGGAGCACGCGCUUCCAGAGCGUCCAGGAGAACUCGCUGAAAUAUGCCGCCCAGACAUGCCACACUGCAGGGUGUCCUUGGAGAUGCUGGGAAAAGAGAAGAACGGCGUACAGACGAGCUUAGAAUGCGGGAACGAGUGAGGCUGGAGGGAAAGUAGUCGCUCCCGCUACCCCUGUCCAGGAGGAAGGUGCUGAUUGCAGCUUCCAGUCCUCUGGGCCGAGAGCAGGGGUUGCCGCUCCCAGCGCCGUCCUGCCUGGGCGCGGUCCCCGCCGCGUGUGCAAGAUUCCAGAACUACCGGUCAAACUAGGCCCUGGAGGUUUACUUCAAGCUCCAGUCCCAGGGGCCCCUCCAGCCUCUCCCCAACAUGGCUGUAUUGACGAGAGCAGCAGAUAGUGAUGAGAGCCAUGGCUGUUCCCUCCCCACCUGAACAAAGAAGAGAAAGGCUCAUACUGGUCUUUCUGGAGGUUAAAGAGCAACAGGAGGGCUUCACUUGAUUGACAAAUCUAGAUGACCUGCGUAUUCUGUGGAAUUAGGCUUUGACAUUUUCAUCCAGGUACCCACGGUCUGUGAUGUACAAUAGUUUGACUUAACGAUCAUUCGACUUUACAGUGGUGAAAAAAAAUAUGCAUUCUGUAGAAACUGUACUUGGAAUUUUGAAUGUUGAUCUUUUCCAAGGCUGCUGAUAUGCGGCCUGAUGCUCUCAUGAUGCUGGGCACUGGCAGUGAGCCACAGCUCCUGGUCACCACUCUGUCACAAGGGUAAACAUCCAGUGCACUUGCAGCCACUCUGUGCCCAGACAACCAUGCUGAGUUUCCCUCUCAGUACAGUAUUCAAUAAAUUACAUGAGGUUGGGGCCAGCCUGGUGGCACAGCAGUUAAGUUCACACGUUCUGCUUCGGUGGCCCAGGGUUCGCAGGCUUGGAUCCCAGGUGCAGACCUUUACACCACUUGUCAGGCCAUGCUGUGGCAGGUGUCCCACAUAUAAAGCAGAGAAAGAUGGGCACAGAUGUUAGCUCAGGGCCAGUCUUCCUCAGCAAAAAGAGGAGGAUUGGCGGCAGAUGUUAGCUCAGGGAUAACCUUCCUCAAAAACAAAUAAAUAAAUAAACUACAUGAGGUAUUAACACUUUAUUGUAAAAUAGGCUUCGUGUAAGAUGUUUUGCCCAAGUGUAGGCUAACGUAGGUGUUCUGAGCACAUUUAAGGUAGGCUAGGCUAAGCUAAGAUGUUCAGUAGGUUAGAUGUAUUAAAUGCAUUUUCGACUUAUGUUAUUUUCAACUUUCAAUGGGUUUAUCGGGAUGUAACCCCACUGCAAGUCAGGGAAGAUCUGUAGUUCAUUUGUGUGAAAAUCAAUAAAAUGAUUUUUCAAGCAGACC